GCGCACGUGGCGAAAUUGGCAGACGCGCUACUUUGAGGUGGUAGUGCCGCAAGGCAUGCAGGUUCAAGUCCUGCCGUGCGCACCA
rnacentral:tRNA from 1 species